CUACCGUCCCCUUUGCCAGGGAGCAAGGCCAGACUGGGGCUGGGGAAGCUAUGCGGGUGCAGAAGGGAAAUGUGGCUUGAGGGGGUAGAGGAGGGACAAGUACAGAGUUGUGGGAUCUGUUCCUUGCCCUCUAGGAGGAGAUGGUAUGGUUUUCAUGCAUUCCAGCUUGCGCACAGUGGUUUCUUUCAUUUUCUUGAGAUCUUUGGAAAUGGUCCUAAAGGGGAAAAAAAUGAACUCAGGAAGCAAGACUGAAAAUGUGUGCAAUUGUAUGAUUUAAAAGAUUAAAAAAAAAACCACCACAGUACUUUUGAUUAUCACAAGACCAAAAAAUAUAGUGCUUUCCUGAGAAUGUUUUGGUAAUACGACUUUAAAACAAGCAACGUUAAGUAGAAGGAUUUGAAAUACAGAACAUGGAACCCAAUUGGCUUUGAUGGGUUAUGACCAAGUUGGAUUGGCUGAAGAGCAUCACCCUGCUUGAAUGUGAAUCCUCUGACUGCAGAUUGCCACUUUGGAUCUCUCUUCUCACUUUCUGAAGAGGCUUCCUGAAAGCAGAGAAAAAAAUAGCUGAAGAUGUACAAACAGCAGCCCCAGUGAGGAGGAGAAGGAAAGAGAGAAGAUGACCAACUCCAUUGCUCUGGGCCAGAUAUGAGGAAGAACAUCGUGAUAGAAGGGCAUGACAGAGGAAAGCACCUCAGGACAUGGCACCAGGAAGCAGAGAGAGAGAGAGAGAGAGAGAGAGAGAGAGAGAGACUGACUCUCCUCCCCAUGAACAAAAGACAUACCCCAAAGACACACCCCAAAUGACUCACCCCCCACAGCCACACCAUGUAUGCCUACAGUUACAACCCAGUUAAUCUGUAUCAGUGGAUUAAUACAUUGAUUAGGUUAAGGCUCUUAUAACCCAGUUAUUUCAUCUCUAAACCCCCUUGCAGGGUCUCACACAUGAACUUUGGGUGGACACUUCAUAUCUAAACCAUAAAAGGGAGGCAACAUGUUUUCCUAGUCCUUCAUUUAUUAUAAAUUUUAAUUCAUAGUCAGGAAAAAGUGGAAGAAUAAUAUUUUGAAAUAAAGUUGAAAUGAUUUAAUACUUUUUAUUUUUAAAUGUAUUGUGCUUACUUCUCUCAUAUUGCUACUAAUUAAAGUGUAAGAAUCUCAGAAACAGAGAAGCAUUCCUAUAGUACUUUCUUGAACAACAGUGUCAUUGAAACACUGGUAAGAUAAUUUUGAUGAAAAUUUCUGAUUGUGUGCUACAUAUAGUUCUGAAAAUGUUUAUAAUUUUAAUAAAUAAUAGUUAGUAUCAAGUUACUUCAUGGAUUAAUUGAUAUAAUAGACCCACUGGUUACUUAUAUUUUAACUGAUACAUGAUCUAAGCAAAUCAUAAAGGAAGUCUAUAGCAAUAAGAACAGAGUUUCACAAAAACACAUAUUCAACAACAGGUUGAAAAGUGUUCAGAGUAACUUCAUACUCAAUUUUGUUUCUGUUUUUCCUUUCUUUCUUUUUUUUUGGUUUGUUUGUUUAAACUAUAUAUUUUAUCAAUUAUUCAAGAAAUUAUAAAUAUAAAUUUUAAAAUGUGAAAGGGUGACAUGCAGAUCACUUUUUUCCUGAUAAAACCACUCAAAGGUAACCAUGGUUAACAUUAUGCUUUAAUUCUGUGUAAAUGGUGUGUAGAGGCAACAUGAAAAAUAUCAACAAUCAGUUCCGAAUGGUAUUGACCAAUGGAAAGCAUUGCCAAUUGUAAAUUUCAACUGGAUGAAGCAUGUUUUGUUGAAUAUCAUCUCUGUUGUGUUUAUACAUACACAUACACACACAUAUCCAUAAACAAUUGAUAAGUUUUUGCAUCAGCUAUAAUGCAUAUACACAUAGUACAUGAUCUUUUAAAAUUGUACAUUUUGUAUAGAAUAAUUAUAAUUUGGAUAGUGAGACUAUUCUAACAAUUGUUUAUUUCUAAUUAAUCUGCAAAGACAGAAUAAUUGCUAGGCAAAUUAGAAAUGCAAAUUAAAUUGGUGGGGGAGGAGGAAUUUUUUAAAACUACUUAAUAAACACCUUCAGAACACCUGUUUAAUAACUAUGCAAAGUUUGCAUCAUUCUUAGCUAGACCAUAGUGAAGGUAAGAGAAUUUUUCUGGGAAAUAUUUUCUUAUUUCUGAAAGGGUUACAGUAUAGAACUUUACACUAUUUGGUUUUUAAACUAUUUAUUUGCAUUUUUCGAGCACCACCCCCAAGCAGUUAGCCCUAAGAAAUAUGAAUUCUAUUAAAAUUUCAUUUGACUACCUACAUUUUUUGUUUGCAAGCAAAUUGAGCAUAUAUAGAAUGAAUUUAAUAAACUUUUUCUUUAAGAAGAAAAAUUGUGUACUGGAAACAUUACAUUUGGAUCAGUAUCAAGGAUCAGUGGAUGUUUUAGAGUUUCUAUAACGAAUCAAGUUCACCCAGAA